ensembl:rRNA 5S_rRNA 5S ribosomal RNA
GUCUACGGCCAUAACACCCUGAACAUGCCUGAUCUCAUCUGAUCUCAGAAGCUAAGCAGGGUUGGGCCUGGUUAGUACUUGGAUGGGAGAUUUAUUUAUUUUUGUUGGAAAGUCAGAUAUACAGGAGAGA